rnacentral:rRNA from 1 species
AUUGAACGCUGGCGGCAGGCCUAACACAUGCAAGUCGAACGAGCGGCGGACGGGUGAGUAAUGUAUGGGAAACUGCCUGAUGGAGGGGGAUAACUACUGGAAACGGUAGCUAAUACCGCAUACCAUCGGAUGAGCCCAUAUGGGAUUAGCUAGUAGGUGGGGUAACGGCUCACCUAGGCGACGAUCCCUAGCUGGUCUGAGAGGAUGACCAGCCACACUGGGACUGAGACACGGCCCAGACUCCUACGGGAGGCAGCAGUGGGGAAUAUUGCACAAUGGGCGCAAGCCUGAUGCAGCCAUGCCGCGUGUAUGAAGAAGGCCUUCGGGUUGUAAAGUACUUUAAGUUGGGAGGCGUUACCAGCAGAAUAAGCACCGGCUAACUCCGUGCCAGCAGCCGCGGUAAUUC